rnacentral:rRNA from 1 species
CAGCAGCCACGGUAAUACGUAGGUGGCGAGCGUUGUCCGGAAUUAUUGGGCGUAAAGGGAGCGCAGGCGGACAUAUAAGUCCAUCUUAAAAGUGCGGGGCUCAACCCCGUGAGGGGAUGGAAACUGUAUGCCUUGAGUGCAGGAGAGGAAAGCGGAAUUCCCAGUGUAGCGGUGAAAUGCGUAGAUAUUGGGAAGAACACCAGUGGCGAAGGCGGCUUUCUGGACUGCAACUGACGCUGAGGCUCGAAAGCCAGGGGAGCGAACGGGAUUAGAUACCCCAGUAGUCCCUGUCUCUUAUACA